rnacentral:rRNA from 1 species
UGGGGAAUCUUCCGCAAUGGACGAAAGUCUGACGGAGCAACGCCGCGUGAGUGAUGACGGCCUUCGGGUUGUAAAGCUCUGUUAAUCGGGACGAAAGGCCUUCUUGCGAAUAGUUAGAAGGACUGACGGUACCGGAAUAGAAAGCCACGGCUAACUACGUGCCAGCAGCCGCGGUAAUACGUAGGUGGCAAGCGUUGUCCGGAAUUAUUGGGCGUAAAGCGCGCGCAGGCGGAUUGGUCAGUCUGUCUUAAAAGUUCGGGGCUUAACCCCGUGAUGGGAUGGAAACUGCCAAUCUAGAGUAUCGGAGAGGAAAGUGGAAUUCCUAGUGUAGCGGUGAAAUGCGUAGAUAUUAGGAAGAACACCAGUGGCGAAGGCGACUUUCUGGACGAAAACUGACGCUGAGGCGCGAAAGCCAGGGGAGCGAACGGGAUUAGAUACCNCNGUAGUCCUGGCCGUAAACGAUGGGUACUAGGUGUAGGAGGUAUCGACCCCUUCUGUGCCGGAGUUAACGCAAUAAGUACCCCGCCUGGGGAGUACGACCGCAAGGUUG